UUACGGCCAUAUCAUGAUGGAACACUGGUUCCCAUAAGAUCACUAAAGUUAAGCAACUUUGAAUCUGGUCAGUACCUAGAUGAUUGACUGCUUGGGAAUACCAGC